UCCUUCUGAUCGAGGUUCAGCCCGUGGACGGUGUGAGGCCGGUAACGACCCCGAUCGGCGUCUGCCCAGGGGAUUCAACUUGGCGGGUUAGGGACGGCUGCUCGGUGUGGGAGGAUCCCCUCGUGGGACCUCUCCCCGGCGCUGGC